AGUGAACGCUGGCGGCGUGCCUAAUACAUGCAAGUCGAACGGAGUGGCGCACGGGUGAGUAAUAUAUAGCUAAUCUGCCCCUUGCUGGAGGACAACAGUUAGAAAUGACUGCUAAUACUCCAUAGCAAGGGAUGAGACUAUAUCGUAUCAGCUAGUCGGUGGGGUAACGGACUACCGAGGCUAUGACGCGUAACUGGUCUGAGAGGAUGAUCAGUCACCUUGGAACGGCGACACGGGCGAAACUCCUUCGGGAGGCGGCAGUAGGGGAUUGUGCCCAAUCGGCGAAACUCAGAAGCAUCAUCGCCGCGUGAAGGAUGACCAUUUUCGGAGCGUACAUUCCUUUUGUUAGCGAAGCGGUACCUAACGAAUAAGCACCGGCUAACUCCGUGCCAGCCGCCGCGGUAAUAC
rnacentral:rRNA from 1 species